rnacentral:rRNA from 1 species
UAUCAAGUCAGAGGUGAAAGCCCGGGGCUCAACCCCGGAACUGCCUUUGAUACUGCGGAUCUUGAGUCCGAUAGAGGUGGGUGGAAUUCCUAGUGUAGAGGUGAAAUUCGUAGAUAUUAGGAAGAACACCGGUGGCGAAGGCGGCCCACUGGAUCGGUACUGACACUGAGGUGCGAAAGCGUGGGGAGCAAACAG